GAUUUUCUUAUCCCCUGCUAUGUUAAUAGCUUGCUAGACCCUGCAAGAGCCUCCUGUAUGUGAUUAAAGUUCAAUUUACAGAGAAAGAGAUACAAUUGUUUAGGAUAAAUUACAUCUACUUGAAAGUGAAACCAGUUGGUUUUUUGUUUUGUUUCUUUGUUUUUGUUCCCAUGCAGGCUGUGUCAGAGUCAGGGGAGGUGUGAC